rnacentral:tRNA from 1 species
AAAGAAUUAGUUUAAUUAACAACAUUAAAUUGUCAAUUUAAAAAUAUUACUUAUUAAUAAUAUUCUUUU